rnacentral:rRNA from 1 species
CCUACGGGAGGCAGCAGUGGGGAAUUUUGGACAAUGGGCGAAAGCCUGAUCCAGCCAUGCCGCGUGAGUGAAGAAGGCCUUCGGGUUGUAAAGCUCUUUUAGUCGGAAAGAAAAGAUCAUAAUGAACAAUUAUGAUUCAUGACGGUACCGACAGAAAAAGCACCGGCUAACUACGUGCCAGCAGCCGCGGUAAUACGUAGGGUGCGAGCGUUAAUCGGAAUUACUGGGCGUAAAGGGUGCGCAGGCGGUUUUGUAAGUCAGAUGUGAAAUCCCCGGGCUUAACCUGGGAAUUGCGUUUGAAACUGCAAGACUAGAGUGCAGCAGAGGGGAGUGGAAUUCCAUGUGUAGCAGUGAAAUGCGUAGAGAUGUGGAAGAACACCGAUGGCGAAGGCAGCUCCCUGGGUUGACACUGACGCUCAUGCACGAAAGCGUGGGGAGCAAACAGGAUUAGAUACCCUGGUAGUCCACGCCCUAAACGAUGUCAACUAGUUGUCGGAUCUAAUUAAGGAUUUGGUAACGUAGCUAACGCGUGAAGUUGACCGCCUGGGGAGUCCGGUCGCAAGAUUAAACUCAAAGGAAUUGACGG